AAUGGACCCGGCGCGCCGGGUGGCUAUGCCGGGCGCCUAUCCCUCGGCCAAUC
rnacentral:ncRNA from 1 species